CGCGCGAGUCGUUGGGCAGUACGAAACCCGAAGGCGCAGUGAAAGCGAGGGCCGCCUUCGACGGUGGCUGAGGUGGGAUCCGGCUUCCUCGCAAAAGGAGCCGGCGCACCACCGGCCCGUCUCGACCGCGGCGUCGGUGAGGCGGAGCAGGAGCGUGCACGUUGGGACCCGAAAGAUGGUGAACUAUGCCUGAGUAGGACGAAGCCAGAGGAAACUCUGGUGGAGGUCCGCAGCGAUUCUGACGUGCAAAUCGAUCGUCAAACUUGGGUAUAGGGGCGAAAGACUAAUCGAACCAUCUAGUAGCUGGUUCCCUC
rnacentral:rRNA from 1 species